rnacentral:rRNA from 1 species
UACGGGGGGUGCAAGCGUUACUCGGAAUCACUGGGCGUAAAGGGAGCGUAGGCGUCCGGGUCAGUCUCCUGUGAAAUCCCACGGCUCAACCGUGGAACUGCAGGAGAAACUGCCCGGAUAGAGUAUGGAAGAGGUAAGUGGAAUAGGUGGUGUAGGGGUAAAAUCCGUAGAGAUCACCUGGAAUACCAACGGCGAAGGCAACUUACUGGGACAUUACUGACGCUGAGGCUCGAAAGCGUGGGGAGCAAACAGG